rnacentral:miRNA from 1 species
CUUUUUUCUUCACAAAUACAG